AUGGCACUGUUGGAUGAACUUCACGUGUCAAUGCCUCUGCGAAAAUGGUUUUGUGUAGUUUUGUAUUUUAGUGCAAGCACUCUCAACUCCUUGAAACCGCCCCACGCCCAGCUGAUGUGUUUAAGUGUCUUGCCAGUUUGCUUUGGCCUACAGAAGCUACUACUAUUUGUGUCUACAUCAGAACUCAGGUGUCUGGAGAAAAAUGCCUGUUGCAUCACAUUUGUUUGUGUUUAUCCUCUGAAAAAACUGGCCAUUGUUGCCGGCUUCGCAAGAUGCGUCAGUUCAGCUGCAAAAAAACGAGCAUUAUAUACCGUCGUCAAGCUCGCUCACUUGUUGGAAUGA
rnacentral:rRNA from 1 species